rnacentral:misc_RNA from 1 species
UAACACCAUCUUCAGAAAUUACUGGUAGGUUAUAUUCAGGUUUUUCAUUUUUUUCAUGUUCAGAAUACCAAACAUGAGUUAUUACAAAUGCAUAUGUAAAUCACACCUUAAAUUCCAAUUUAAACUCUCAUACAUGAACAGUGUUCAAUUUCAAUUCUGUUCAGUCAACUUUAGCUAUUGAAGAUUAGUCCAGUGGGCCCCCAAAACAUUUCAAUUAUGUUUCCAUUUCUUUUCUCUGAUUAUGUUCUUUCUUUUAAAUUCUCUUCAUUCCAAUUGCAUGCCUAUGUAUUCGCAUCCUUCUCAGAAACAUCUCCUGGAAAUGCUAAUUUAAAUACUAUUCGUGAUGUUUAUUGAAGACAUACAUACUUGCUUAUAUGUUUAUAGAGCUAUGCUACAUGGUCUGAAAUAAAUAUGGUUUAUUGAUUUUAAUGUCUUCAAUAUGUUUAUAGAGCUAUGCUACGUA